GUCUCAUCAACCGGAUAGCUCAGUUGGUUAGAGCAUGGUGUUGAUAAUGCCACGGUUGCAGGUUCAAUCCCUGUAUUGGACA